GUAGGGAUCACACGGCAUAUCCAUCAUGAGGCCAUGGUUGAUAACAUGGCUCAGGUUUUUGCCAUGGUUGACAACAUGGCUCAGGUUUCUUCUCUUCAGGUUUCUUCUCUUCGGGUUUCUUCUCUUCGGGUUUCUUUUCUUCUUCUGGCUUUUUGUCACCAUCCUUAGGUGGUUCAACUUUAGCUACGCUAACAAGCUCCGCAAAUGCAACUUUUUUCCUG